rnacentral:rRNA from 1 species
AUACGUAGGUGGCGAGCGUUGUCCGGAAUUACUGGGUGUAAAGGGCGUGUAGGCGGGGGAGCAAGUCAGAUGUGAAAGCCCAAGGCUCAACUUUGGGAUUGCAUCUAAAACUGUUUCUCUUGAGUACUGGAGAGGGAAGCGGAAUUCCUAGUGUAGCGGUGAAAUGCGUAGAGAUUAGGAGGAACACCAGUGGCGAAGGCGGCUUCCUGGACAGAGACUGACGCUGAGGCGCGAAAGCGUGGGGAGCGAACAGGAUUAGAUACCCUGGUAGUCCACGCCGUAAACGAUGGAUACUAGGUGUAGGAGGUAUCGACUCCUUCUGUGCCGGAGUUAACACAAUAAGUAUCCCACCUGGGGAGUACGGCCGCAAGGUUGAA